ensembl:lncRNA
AACCCUAACCCUGGCCAUGUAGCCAGUACAAAUUAGAGGUGCUGUAACCAGUGUAUGUCACUGUAUCUUGAAGUGGAGAGGUCUCCAUUCUCACUGCAAGGAAAAUGCUGCUGCAUCCCCUUUCCAUCAAACAGAUGAAUAUGGCAUAAAGGUGAGUGUUUAUUUCACUGACUGAACAGAAACUGCAAACUUUCCUCAGCUACAGACUGGUUCAUCCUCAGCAUUCACAAGGAUUUGAAAAAGCAGCUCAUCUUUAGGGGUCAAGUUUCAGUCCCAACUAGUAUAGUGUAGGCAUCUCAUCAGAAAACAUUGAAACCAGCCCAAACACUGGUUGUGGUGAGAAGAUCUUGGACAGAAUACACUUUGUUGGGUUAUACAGUCCUGCCUAUAUGCAAUAUUCAUACUUUCCAUUACAAUACUUACAAUAUGUGUCAUCACAUAUGUUAAAGGCCUAUACAUUUCAUAGGCUACAUUGCCUAAUAUACCAUACAUCACCUUAGUCUGUGCAUUUUGAGGUUUAAUGGUCAGGAUAUGGCAAGUGACUCGUAAAUCAUUUUGAACAUUGAGUCUUGAGUCUGGUAAGCAAAGCCUGUGGGCAAACUACAGACCACAACACAGUUUAACUGCCAGCUAAGGAAACUAGACGUCCCAUGAAGUGGUGAGUAAUAUGAUCGCCGCACAAAGUGAAAGAGACGAAACCAACCGCCCCUGUGCACAAAAGCCUCCACCAAGCGCGCACAGGAAGAAGCAACUGACAGUCCAACCACCCUGUGCUGACGUUACAUAUUUAGAACCUGUAGAAUGCCUACCGGGGCCACACCACCACAUCAACACAUGAUGCAAUAAGUUAUAUUAAUUCUAAUCGCCAACAAAUAGCACAUUAAUGGUCAAAAACUUCACAGCCAACAGUCAUCUUUAAGUGCAUGUGGUCUUGAUUGUUGAUUGAUUAUGCAGAGAAUCUCUGAAAGGGAGCGCAGUGGUAAAAUGAGGCAGAAAGGACCACUAGAAGCCCCCUUAACUGAAUUCUAGACUUUAGAGAAUGUUAAAGUUUUACAAUAUUCUCUCUCUCAAUGUGUUUAUAUGGACUUUACUUGACCAGCUGAAGAAAGACAUUAAGCUGAAAUAUCUUGUCUUUCAAGAAACCUUUCAAGAAAUUACUACAUCUUCUGCACACACGUAGGGGAGUGGGGUGAUUUGUGCCAGCGGGGAAGUUGUGCCACCCCCUGUUUCUAGGGAACCAUAGAAGAAAUUUGUCAAAUGACCACACAUUUUUGAAGAGUCAGCCAUUUUACUGUUUCAGUGCUUUGGUAAGCUACACUUUGAGUCUAUAUAGCUAGCAUGAUUUUAACUCAAAACUGCUGGAUGAUGCAUUUUUUCCAAAAAGGUG